rnacentral:rRNA from 1 species
UACAGAGGCCCCAAGCGUUACUGAGAAUCACUGGGGUUAAAGGGUGCGUAGGUGGUCCGUUAAGUUCGUUGUGAAAUCCCUGGGCUCAACCCAGGAAAUGCUUCGAAUACUGGCGGACUUGAGGCUAGUAGAGGUCACUGGAACUGACGGUGGAGCGGUGAAAUGCGUAGAUAUCGUCAGGAACGCCGAUGGUGAAGACAGGUGACUGGGCUAGUUCUGACACUGAGGCACGAAAGCGUGGGGAGCGAACGGG